rnacentral:rRNA from 1 species
UGGGGAAUUUUGCACAAUGGGGGAAACCCUGAUGCAGCGACGCCGCGUGAUUUAGAAGGCCUUCGGGUUGUAAAAAUCUUUUGUAUGGGAAGAAAAUGACAGUACCAUACGAAUAAGGACCGGCUAAUUCCGUGCCAGCAGCCGCGGUAAUACGGAAGGUCCAGGCGUUAUCCGGAUUUAUUGGGUUUAAAGGGAGUGUAGGCGGUUGGUUAAGCGUGUUGUGAAAUGUAGAUGCUCAACAUCUGACUUGCAGCGCGAACUGGCUGACUUGAGUACACACAACGUAGGCGGAAUUCAUGGUGUAGCGGUGAAAUGCUUAGAUAUCAUGAAGAACUCCGAUUGCGAAGGCAGCUUACGGGAGUGUUACUGACGCUUAAGCUCGAAGGUGCGGGUAUCGAACAGG